GUAGGUGGCAAGCGUUGUCCGGAAUUAUUGGGCGUAAAGCGCGCGCAGGCGGUCCUUUAGGUCUGAUGUGAAAGCCCACGGCUCAACCGUGGAGGGUCAUUGGAAACUGGGGGACUUGAGUACAGAAGAGGAAAGCGGAAUUCCAAGUGUAGCGGUGAAAUGCGUAGAGAUUUGGAGGAACACCAGUGGCGAAGGCGGCUUUCUGGUCUGUAACUGACGCUGAGGCGCGAAAGCGUGGGGAGCAAACAGGAUUAGAUACCCUGGUAGUCCACGCCGUAAACGAUGAGUGCUAAGUGUUAGGGGGUUUCCCGCCCCCUUAGUGCUGCAGCUAACGCAUUAAGCACUCCGCCUGGGGAGUACGGCCGCAAGGCUG
rnacentral:rRNA from 1 species